UACGUAGGGUGCGAGCGUUGUCCGGAAUUAUUGGGCGUAAAGGGCUCGUAGGCGGUUUGUCGCGUCGGGAGUGAAAACCUCGGGCUUAACUCGGGGCUUGCUUUCGAUACGGGCAGACUAGAGGUAUGCAGGGGAGAACGGAAUUCCUGGUGUAGCGGUGGAAUGCGCAGAUAUCAGGAGGAACACCGGUGGCGAAGGCAGUGUUCUGGGCCAGUACUGACGCUGAGGAGCGAAAGCGUGGGUAGCAAACAGG
rnacentral:rRNA from 1 species